GACGAACGCUGGCGGCGUGCUUAACACAUGCAAGUCGAACGGAAAGGCCCUGCUUUUGUGGGGUGCUCGAGUGGCGAACGGGUGAGUAACACGUGAGUAACCUGCCCUUGACUUUGGGAUAACUUCAGGAAACUGGGGCUAAUACCGGAUAGGAGCUCCUGCUGCAUGGUGGGGGUUGGAUAGUUUCGGCGGUUGGGGAUGGACUCGCGGCUUAUCAGCUUGUUGGUGGGGUAUUGGCUUACCAAGGCUUUGACGGGUAGCCGGCCUGAGAGGGUGACCGGCCACAUUGGGACUGAGAUACGGCCCAGACUCCUACGGGAGGCAGCAGUGGGGAAUAUUGCACAAUGGGCGGAAGCCUGAUGCAGCAACGCCGCGUGCGGGAUGACGGCCUUCGGGUUGUAAACCGCUUUCGCCUGUGACGAAGCGUGAGUGACGGUAAUUGGUAAAGAAGCACCGGCUAACUACGUG
rnacentral:rRNA from 1 species